GACCUUGGUACACCACCCAGUACCCAAGAUGGUGGACAACACAAUACAGACCUUGGUACACCACCCAGUACCCAAGAUGGCGGACAACACAAUACAGACCUUGGUACACCACCCAUUAUCCAAGAUGGCGGACAACACAAUACAGACCUUGGUACACCACCCAGUACCCCAGAUGGUGGACAACACAAUACAGACCUUGGUACACCACCCAGUAUCCAAGAUGGCGGACAACACGAUACAGACCUUGGUACACCACCCAGUACCCAAGAUGGCGGACAACGCAAUAUCCAAUUUACACUACCCAUAGAACAACACGAGAUAAAGACAGUAUUAUUGGUUGAUAAAUUACCUUUGACUCAUCAAUACCGAACUCUGCCCUUGGAAGCUUGAAAUUGACAGACUUUCAGAGGAAGGAACAUACUUGAAGAAGACAUUUCUUCCGUAUAUUAUAUAUUAUUGCAAAAUCCAGAGUAAUACAUGUAAUAAAAUAUAUCAAUUAUUACUCCACAA